CUACUUCAAACCUAUACUCUUGAGGAGGCAGAAGUUAUUGCUGCUGCCAAGACCAUGAAGAUGUGGGAGGAGCACUUGAAGGGAAAGAAAUUCGAACUCUACACCAAGGUAUGGAGAGACAUACUCACCUUGAGUGUGUUUCCUCUUUUCCGAAGUGGAGUGCAAUCUAUGAGAAGACCAAGCGAGUCAUGGAGGAAUAUGCGUAUGAAUGGGUGUUGAAAAGUGGGAAGCAUGAGGAAAUGAAGAAGGAAGCCAUGUAUCUGCCGGAUGUCAUCGUCAUAAGUGAUGACGAAGAAGAGAGUCUCGAGAGCGAGAAGAGCUUGGAAACCACUGCUUGUACCGAGCAAAAGAAAAAGAAGGAUGCUGCAGCAAAUUGGCCUGCAUGGGGAGAACCAGAAAAGUUGAAUGAGGAGUCGUUAUUCGACAUCCUUGGUGAAAAAACUCAAGGCAAUCAGCCGAGGCUAAAGGAGGGAGAGAAGGUAACUUGGGAGGAGUUUACCAAGGCAUUGAAAGUAUACGAUGCCAACAAUGGUGGCAAGAAAUGGGCUGAUGCAGCCAAGUGGGAAGAAAGUAGUAGGCAACAAGCAAGGGGAUGAAGCCCAAGACCCGUUGGCAACGAUGGCGUUGCCAAACUCAAACGGGGGUGGUUUGUUACACCCCUAAAGUCUCAUAGGCGGCUAGGCGCGUGGCAUGGGUUGUUUUUGCACCAUGUCGACACACAUAAAGGCACAAGCAAAGACAAGCGCUAGUAGGAAGGGAAUGUUGGUAUGUGGCAACAAACCUAGCCAAAGGAAGGAAGUCGGUAUGGACCCCAAGGGCUCGGCAGGGUGCCAUGUUGGGUGCAUGAUAUGUGUGCUCGGCAGGGGGUGUUGUUUAGUGCGGAAGGAUGCAUGAAAGGUGCACUGCUGGGUGGUGCAUGACAAGUGUGCUCGGCAGGGUGCUACAAGGGUGCGAGGAAGGUACGCUGCAGAGUGCUCGACAGGGUGCUCGGCAGGGUUCUUUGCAAGAUGCAGUGAAGGGUGCGUGCUGGUGCACUCUAGGGUGCACACGUGUGUAAGGCGGUUACAAAGUUAGUGGGAAGUUAUCUCCACAAAGCAAGCGGCAUAGUGGGCGGUUAUCUAGCACAAAAGGUGGGGAAGUUGGCAAGGAAGUUAUGCAUAUCUUGGUGGUUAUCUAAAGUAGUUAAUAAACCUAAGUAGCGGGGGAUGUCCACUACUCCUAGAAAUAAGGCAUGUAUGCCACAUAAGUACCUAAGGGAAGUUGGGUUGUAACUUCCAUAUUGAGUAGGCUUAUAUAUAGGGCGUAACACAUAGUAGGAAGAUUUGGAUUCGGACUUUGCCAAAUAGACUUGGCAAGCCAAAGAAGAGUUCCAUGUAAUUGUAGUUUGUUUCUAUCAAUGAAAAAAAAGGAAUGCUUAGUUCCACAAACUAUGUAUGCAUGUGAGUAUUAGAGAGUCCUCACACUUGUGAGAAAGGAGGUAGACACUUGUGUGAAAAAGUAGGAUUGCAAUCCAAUACAAAAGAGAGAGAAAAGAGAAGUGUGCACACAUAUAGCACGGACCUGGCUUGAUAAGGCCCUCGCCUACUAGAACCAAGGUGUUGUAUGGGGAGAUAGAUAGGCUGGUCGAAGUUCGGAGGAGCCUUGACACCAUCACGGAGCCUCGCAUAUUGUUGCGAAAACAAAGAGAAAGAGAGAAAAAUUUCGUUGCGUACUAAAGGCCCGUGACAACUGCCUUGACCCGCCGAGGGCAGCUUUAACCUGCCUUGACCCGCCAAGGGGCGGCUUCGACCCGCCUUGACCUGCCAAAGGAUCGCCUUAACCCUCCUUGACCGUUUUGACCACCUUGACAAGCCAAGGGGGCCGCUUUGACCCGCCUUAACAUGCCAAGGGACUGCCUUGGCCUUAUUACACCAGCCUUAACAUGCCAAUGGACCACCUUGGCCCUCCUAGACCCACGUAGGGAUCACCUAGACCCACUUGAGGUCGCCAAGGGGACGCCUAGACCCGCUUAGGUGUAGCUUAGACCCACCAAUGGGCUGCCAAAACCCGCCUAGGGCCGCUAGUGGACUGCCUUGACCCAUCGAGGGCCGCCAAGGGGAUGAUUUGACCCGUCUUGACCCAUCAAGGGCCGCUUUGACCUGCCUUGACCUGUCAAGGGACUGCCUUGACACGCCAAGGGGCCGCUUUUACCCACUUUAACAUGCCAAGGAACCACGUUGACCCAUCUUGAUAAGCCAAGGUGCCGUUUUUAACCUACCUUGACAUGCCAAGGGACCGCUUAGGCCUUCCUAGACCCACGUAGGGACCACCUAGACCCACUUAAGGUCGCUAAGGGACCGCCUUGACCGGUCUUGACACGCCAAAGGGCCGCUUUUACCCGCUUUAACCUGCUAAGGAACCGCCUUGACCCACCUUGAUAAGCCAAGGUGCCGCUUUAACCCUCCUUGACAUGACAAGGGACCGACUUGGCCUUCCUAGACCCGCUUAGGGAUCGCCUAAAACCGCUUAGGUGUAGCCUAGACCGUCUAAGGGGUUGCCGAGACACGCCUAGGGCCGCUAGUGGGCCGCCUUAACCAGGCGAAAGUCCACCAAGGGGCUUCUUUGACCCACCUUGACCUGCCAAGGGACCGUCUUGACCCGCCUUGACAUGUCAAGGGAUCACCUUUCCCACCUUGACCCGAGAAGUGCCACCUAGGGCCCGCUUUAACCCGCAUUGACUUGCCAAAGGACCACCUUAACCCGCCUUGACAUGCAAAGGGGUUCCUUUAACCCGCCUUGACCUUGCAAGGGACCAUUGGGACCACCUAGACCCGCCUAGACCUGCAUAGAACCCGCGUAGGGACCGCCUUGACUAGCUAAGGGGCUGCUUUGACCGCCUUGACCUACCAAGAGACCGCCUUGACAUGCGAAAGGGCCGUUUUGACCCUUCUAGGGCCACUAAGAGGCCGCCUUGGCUCGUUUAGGGUUACCAAGGGGCCGCCUUGACCUUGCUAGGGUCGCCAAGGGGCCGUGUUCACUCGUCUAAGGUCGCCAAAUGGCUGCCUUGACCCUCCUAGACCGCGUAGGGUCGUCUUGACCCUCCUACGCCAUCCUUGGCUCACCUAGGACCACCAAGGGGCCGCUAUGACUCGCCAAGGGGUUGCCAUGACCCUCCUAGGCCCGUGUAGUGCCGUCUUGACCUGCCUUGACCUUCCUAAUCCCUCCUAGGCUCGACUAGGGUAGCCAAAGGGCCUCCUUGACCCUCUUAGGGCCGCUUUGUCCCGCCUUGACCAGCCAAGGGCCACCAAGCGGCCACAAAGAGUCGCCUUGACCCGCAUUGGCCCGUCUUGACCCUCCUAGGGCAGCCAAGAGGCCGCCUUGACCCCGCUAAGGAUGCCAAGGGGUCGCGUUAACCCGGCUAAGGCCGCCAAGGGGCCGCAUUGACCUGCCAAAGGGCUGCCUUGACCCGCCUAGUGCCGCCUUGACCCUCCUAGGCUUUCCUUGGCUUGCCUAGGGCCACUAAGGGGCCGCCAUGAUUCACCAAGGGGUGGCCAUGACCCUCCUAGGCCCGUGUAGGGCCGCCUUAACCCGGGUAGGGCUGCCUUGACCCUCCUAGGCUCGCCUAGGGUAGCUAAAGGGCCGCCUUGACCCUCCUAGGGCCGCAAAGAGGCCGCCUAGACCUGUCUAGGGCCACCAAGGGGUUGCCGUGACUUUCCUAGGCCCGUGUAGGGCCGCAUUGACCCGUGUAGGGCUGCCUUGACCCGUCUUUGGUUGCCUUGACCCUCCUAGGCUCGCCUAGGGCCACAAAAGGGCCGCCAUGACUCGCCUAGGGGUCGCCAUGACCCUCCUAGGUCAGUCAAGGGCAUCCUUGAACCGCCUUGGGCCGCUUAGGCCCUCCUAGGCUCGCCUAGGGUAGCCAAGCGGCCGCCUUGACCCACCCUGGGCCGUAUUGACCCGCCUUGACCCUCAUAGGGCCGCAAAUAGGGCGCCUUGACCCAUCUAGGGCUACCAAUAGGGUGCCUUGACCAGGCUAGGGCCGCCUUAAAUAGGCUAGGGCCGCUAAGGGGCCGCCUUGACCUGUCUAUGACCGCUAAGUGGCCGCCUUGACACGCCUUGACUCGCAUUUGCCCGCCUUGAUCUACCUCAUGCCGUCUUGACCCUUCUAGGGCCGCCAAGAGGCUGCCUGGACCCGUCUAGGGCCACCAAAGGGCCGCCAAGGGGCUGUGUUUACCCGUCUAAGGCCAUCAAGGGGCCAUCUUGACCCUCCUAGGCCAUCUUAGGCUUGCCUAGGGCCACCAAAGGGUUGCCAUGACCCUCCUAGGCUCUCAUAAGUAGCCCGCCUUAACCCAUGUAGGAACGCCAUGAUCCGCCUUGACCCGCCUUGGGCCGCGUAUACCCACCUAGGACCGCUUAGUGGCCGCAUUGACUCGGUUAGAGCCGCCUUGACCCGCAUUGGCCUGCCUUGACCCACCUAGGGUCACGAAGAGGCUGCCUUGACCCCGCUAGGGUCGCCAAGGGGACGAGUUCACUCGCCUAAGGCCGCCAAGGGCCGCCUUGACCCGCCAAGGGGUUGCCUUGACCUGCCUAGACCCGCUUUGACCCUCCUAGGCUCACCUAGGGCCACCAAGGGGCCGCCAUGACUCUCCUAGGCCCGACUAGGGUCGACUUGACCCGUCUUAGGCCACCUUGACCCUCUUAGGCCCUCCUAGAGUUGCCAAGGGGCCGCCUUGACCUGCUUAGGGUCGCCAAUCGGCCGCCUUUACCCGCCUUGGGCCGCAUUUACCCGCCUUAUCCUGCCUUGACCCGCCUAGAGCUGCCUUGACCCGCCUAGGGUAGCUAAGGGGUGCCAUGACCCGCCUAGGGCUGCCAAGGGGCCGCCUUGACUCUCCCAGGGCCGCAUUGACCCGCCUUUACCCCCUUAAACCGCCAUGACCCGCCUAAACCCUCCUUGACCCGCCUUAACCCGCCUUGGGCCGCCUUGACUAGCCUUAACCCACCUUGGGCAGCCUAGACCCAUCUACGGACACCAAGGGCCGCCUUGACCUAUUUAGCGCUACCAAGGGGCGCCUUGACCCGCCUAGGGCCGCUUGACCCACCUUGACCCGCUUAGAACCGUUUUGACCCGCCUUGACCCGCUUAGAGCCGCCUUAACCCGCCUUGACCCUCCUUAGGCCACGUUGAUCCUCCUAGGGCCACCAAAAGGACGCCUUAACCCGUUUAGGGCCACCAAGGGGCCUUUUUGACCUCGCUAGGGCCGCCAAGGGGCCGCGUUCACCCGUCUAAGGCUGCGAAGGGGCUUCUUUUACCCUCCUAGACUCAGGUCGCCAUGACCCUCCUAGACCCGUGUAGGGCCGCCUUGACCCGCAUUGGUUCGCCUUGACCCGCCUCAGGCUGCCUUGACCCUCCUAAGGCUGCCAAGAGGCCGCCUGGACCCGUCUAGGGCCACCAAGGGCCGCCUUAACCUCGUUAGGGCUGCGUUCACCUGUCUAAGGCCGCCAAGGGGCUGCCAUGACCCUCCUAGACCCGCGUAGGGCCGCCUUGACCCUCCUAGGCUAGCCUAGGGCCACCAAGGGGACACCAUGACUCACCAAGGGGUCGCAUGACCCUCCUAGGCUUGUGUAGGGCCGCCUUAACCCGCCUUGGGCCGUUUUGACCCUCCUAGUCCUUCCUAGGCUCGCCUAGGGUAGCCAAACGGCCGCCUUGGGCCGUCUUGACCCCCUAGUCCCUCUUAGGCUCGCCUAGGGCCGCCAAGCUGCCGUCUUGACCCGCCAAGUGGAUACCUUAAUCCUCCUAGACCCACCUAGGGCCGCCUUGACCCUCUUUGACCGGUCUAGGGCCACCUCGACCCGCCUUGGACCGCCUUGAUCCGUCUUAACCCGCCUUGACCCGCCUUAACCUGCCAUGACCCGUCUUAACCCGCCUAGACCCAUAUGGGGCCACCAAGGGGUGCCUUGACCUAUCUAGGGCCACCAAAGGGCACCUUGACCCGGCUAGGGCCUCAUAUGGCCGCCUUGACUUGCUUUAGGCCACCUUUACCGGCCUAGAGCCGUCUUGACCUGCCUUGACCCUCCUUAGGCCGCGUUGACCCUCCUAGGGCUACCAAAAGGCCGCCUUGACCCGUUUAGGGCCACCAAGGGGCCUUCUUGACAUCGCUAGGGCUGCUAAAGGGCCGCAUUCACCCGUCUAAGACCGCGAAGGGGCUUCCUUGACCCUCCUAGACCCGCGAAAGGCCGCCAUGACCCUCCUAGACCCGUGUCGGGCAUCCUUGACCCUCCUAGGCUCUCCUAGGGUAGCCAAGAGGCCGCCUUGGCCAGCCUAGGGCUGCCAUGACCAGCCUUGGGCCGCCUUGACCACACUAGUGCCACCAAGAGGAUGCCUUGACCCCGCUAGGACCGCCAAAGGGCCACGUUCACCCAUCUAAGGCCGCCAAGGGACCGCCUUAACCCGCCAAGGGGCUGCCUUAACCCGCAUUGGCCUGUCUUGACCCUCGCAGACCCGCCUAGUGCCGCCUCGACCCUCCUAGACCCGCCUAGGGUCGCCUUGCCCCUCAUAGGGCUGUCAAUAUGGCGCCUUGACCCAUCUAGGGCCACCAAGGGGCGCAUUGACCCGGCUAAGGCUGCUAAGGGGCCGCCUUAACCAGGCUAGGCCAUCCUAGGCUUGCCUAUGGUAGCCAAAGGGCCGCCAAGUGCCGCCUUAACCUGCGUAGGGCCACAAAGCGCUCGCCUUGACCCGUAUUGGCACGCCUUGGCCCGCCUUAACCCGCCCUGACCCUCCAAGGACCACCAAGGGGCGCCUUGACCCCGCUAGGGCCGCUAAUGGGCCGUGUGCACCCGUCUAAGGCAAUCAAGGGGCUGCCUUGACCCGUCUAGGCCCGUGUAGGGCCGUCUUGACCCUCCUAGGCUUGCCUAGGGUAGCUAAAGGGCCACCUUGACCCGCUUAGGGCAGCCAAGGGGCCGCCUUGACCCUCCUAGGCUCGCCUAGGGUAGCCAAGGGCCGCCUUGAUCCGCCUUAACCUGCCUAUGGCCACCAAGAGGCGCCUUGACCUGGCUAGGGCCGCCUUAACUAGGCUAGGGCUGCCAAGGGUCCGCCUUUACCUGCUUUGACCUGCCUAGGGCCGCUAAGCGGCCGUCUUGACCCGUAUUGGCCCGCCUUGACCCCCCCUUGACCCUCCUAGGGCUUCCAAGAGGCCGCCUUGACCCGUCUAGGGCCGCCAAAGGGUCGCCAUGACCUUCCUAGGCCCGUCUAGAGCCUCCUUGACACAUGUAGGGUCGCCUUGACCCGUCUUCGGCUGCCUUGACCCUCCUAGGCCCUCCUAGGCUCGCUUAGGGCCACCAAGGGGCCGCCAUGACUCGGUAAGGGGUGGCCAUGACCCUUAUAGGUCCUUCUAGGGCAUCCUUGAACCGCCUUGACCGUCCUAGGCCUUCCAAGGCUCGCCUAGGGUACGUAGCCAAGCGGCCGCCUUGACUCGCCUUGACCCUCCUUGACCCGUCUUAACUCGCCUGGAGCCGCCUUGACCCGCAUUGGCCCACCUUGACCCUCCUAGGGCCGCCGAGGGAUCGAGUUCACUUGCCUAAGGUCGCUAAGGGGCCGCCUUGACCCGCCAAGGGGUUAUCUUGACCCUCCUAGACCCGUCUAGGGGUGCCUUGACCCACCUAGGGCCGCCUUAACCCGUCUUGACCCACCUUGACUCGCCUUAACCUUCCUUGACCCAGCAAGGCGCACUUUGACCCAGCUAGGGCGCCUUGACCGAUCUAAGGCCACCAAGGGGUGCCUUGACCCGCCUAGGGCUGCUGAGAGGCCGCCUUGACCCUCCUAGGGCCGCCUUUACCCGCCUUGACCCUCCUAGGGCCGCCUUAACCCGUCUUGACCCUCCUUAGGCCGAGUUGACCCUCCUAGGGCUACUGAAAGGCCACAUAGACCCGUCUAGGGCCACCAAGGGGCCGCAUGGACCUCGCUAGGGCCGCGUUCACCUGUCUAAGUCCGCCAAGGGGCUUCCUUGACCCUCCUACAUCCCCGUAGGGCCGCCUUGACCCUCCUAGGCCCUCCUUGGCACGACUAGGGCCACCAAGGGGCCGCCAUGACCAUCCUAGGCCCAUGUAGGGUCGCCUUGACCCUCUUUGACCCGCAUUGGCCCGCCUUAACCCGCCUCAGGCAGCUUUGACCCUCUUAGGGCCGCCAAGAGGCUGCCUUUAUCCCGUUAGGGCCGCCAAGGGGCUGCGUUCACCCAUCUAAGGCCACCAACGGGCCACCUUGACCUUGCUAGGGCCGCUAAGGGGCCGCGUUCACCCGUCUAAGGCCGCUAAGGGGCUGCCAUGACCAUCCUAGACCCGGGUAGGGCUGCCUUGACCCUCCUAGGCCCUCCUUUCUCUCCUAGGGCCACCAAGGGGCUGCCAUGACUCACCAAGGGGUCGCCAUGACCCUCCUAGACUCGUGUAGGGCCGCCUUGACCUGCCUAGGGACACGAAGGGGCUGCAUUCACCCGUCUAAGGCCGCGAAGGGGCCGCCUUCACCCGCCAAAGGGCUACCUUAACCCUCCAAGACCCGCUUUGACCCUUCUAGACUCGCCUAGGGCUUUCUUUACCCUCAUUGGAUCGCCUUAACUCGCCUUAACCCGCCUUUACUCGCCUUAACCCGCCUUAGCCCACAUAGACCCAUCUAGGGCCACCAAGGGGCGCCUUAACCCGGCUAGGGCGCUUGACCCAUCUAGGGCCACCAAAGGGCGCCUUGACCUAGGGCCGCCAAGCGGCCGCCUUGACCCGUCGAGAGCCACCUUAACCCUGUUUAGGCCGCGUUGCUCCUCCAAGCAGCCGCCUUGAUCUGCCUUGGACCGCCUUGGGCCCCCUUGACCCACCUUGACCCGCCUUGGACCUACCUAGGGUCGCCAAGCGGCAGCCUUGACCCACCUAGAGCCGCCUUGACCUGCCUUGACCCUCCUUAGGUCGCGUUGACCCUCCAAGCGGCCACCUUGACCCGCAUUGGCCCGCCUUGGACUGCCUUGACUCGCCUUGACCCGCAAUGACCUACCUUUGGUCGCCUUAACUCACCUUGAACCGGCUUGAGCCGUUUUAACCCUUCUAGACCCGUCUAGGGCCGCCUUGACCCUCCUAGACUCACCUAGGGCUACCAAGGGGUCACCAUGACCCUCCUAGACCCGUCUAGGGCCGCAUUAACCCGCAUUGGCCUGCUUAGGCCACCUUAACCCGUCUUGGGUUGCUUUAACCUUCCUCGGCUCUGCCAGGCCCACCUAGGGCAGUCAAAGGGGCGCCAUAACCCACCUAAGACCGCCACAAGGGUGCCUUUACACGCCUUGACCCUCCGAGGCCCACCUAGGGUCACCUUGACCCAUCUAGGGACGUCAAGAGGCCGCCUUAACCUGCCUAGGGCCGCCAAGGGGCCGCCUUGACACACCUAGGGUCGCCAAGGGGACGUCAUGACCCACUGAGGUCUUGCCUUUACACGCCUAGGUUUGUUUUGACCUCUCUAGGGCCCGCCAUGACCCGCAAAGGGGCAGCCUUAGGCCGCCAUGGGGCCACCUUAAACCGUCUAUGGCCGCCUUGACCCACCUUGACCCGCCUUGACCCACCUUGAACCGUUUUAGGCCGCCAUGACCUGCCUUGACCCGCCUUUGACCUGCCUUGGGCCACCUUCACCCGCCUUGGACAGCCUUGGGCCACUUUGACCCGCCUUGGGCUGCCUUGACUCUUCUAGACCCGCCAAAGGACUGCCAUGGGGCCGCCUUGAUCUGUUUUGGCCCGGCUUGACCCGCCUUGGCCCUCCUUGACCCGCCUUGGACCGCCUUGGCCUGCCUCGACCCGCCUUGGGCCGCCUCGACCCGCCUGGACCCGUCUUGGCCCGCCAUGACACGCCUUGAACCACCUUGGGCCGCUUUAACCCUCCUAGACACGCCUAGGGCCGCCUUGACCCUCUUAGAUACGCCUAGGGCCACCUUGACCCGCCUUAACCCGUUUUGGCCCGUCUUGACUCGCCUUGAACCACCUAGGGCCGCCUUAACCCUCCUAAACCCGCCUAGGGCCACCAAGAAGCGUCCAUGACUCGCCUAGGCCCGUCAAGGCGCUGCCUUUACAUGCCUUGACCCUCCUAGGCCCGUCAAGGGCCACCUUGACCCGUCUAGGGCCGCCUUAAACCGCCUUGGCCCGCCUUAGGCCUCCUUGACCCGUCUUAGCCCGCUUUGACCCUCCUCGACCCUUCUAGGACCACCUAUGGCUGCUAAGGGGGAGCCAUGACCCACCUAGAGCCACCAAGGGGCCGCUUUAACAUGCCUAGGGACGUCUUGACCCGCCAAGGGGCUGCCUUUACACGACUAGGGUUGUUUUGACCUCUCUAGGGCCCGCCAUGACCCGGCUUUGGCCGCCAAGGGGAUGCCUUGGGCCGCCAUGGGGCCACCUUGACCCGUCUUUGGCUGCCUUGACCCGCCUUAAUCCGCCUUGGUCUGCUUUGGGCAGCCAUGACCUGCCUUGACCCGUCUUCGACCCGCCUUGGGCUACCUUGACCCGCCUUAGACAGCCUUGGGCCGCCUUGACCCGUCUUGACCCUCCUAGACCCGCUAAGAGGCUGCCUAAGGCCGCCUUGUCCCGCCUAGACCCGCCUUGGACCGCCUUGACCCUUCUUGGCCUGCCUUGGACCCGCCUUGGCCGCCUUGGGUCGCUUCGACCCGCUUGAACCCGUCUUGGCCUGCCAUGACACGCUUUGAACCACUUUAGGCCGCUUUGACCCUCCUAGAUCCGCCUAGGGCCGCCUUGACCCUCCUUAACCCGUCUUGGCCCGCCUUGAACCGCCUAGGGCCGCCUUGACCCUCCUAGACCCACCUUGUGUCACAUCCCGCCAUCUCCUCCUCUCUCAUCUUGGGCCGGUGAGCUAGCUAGCAGCGUCGCCUAUCGGGAGAAAACUCCUCCGAGGAGCCGGCUGUCCUCUCACCGGAACUCCCUCCUCCGGCCGCCAUAGCCGGAGCUACUUGGCUCUUUUGGAAGCUCUCCUCCCAUGCAUCAAAACCUCCAAAGGUUUCACUCCCUCUUGGUCUAGGUAAGGAGAAUCGGUGAGUUGAAAUCCUAGGGUUUCAUUUAGUGUUUUGGUUCGAUUGACCUUGUUAGGCUUGAAAUUGGGCUUUGUGCUAGUUAGGAAAGGUAGAGUGGGUUGAGAGGAAGAUGCUAUUAAAUUUUGGUAGGCAUUAGAGGUCGCUGGAGUCGGCCGCCGCUGCCGGUGGAGUAGACUGUGGCGCCGCCGCUGUGCGGUGGUUUUCAGGGUUUUUAAUUUGUUGUAUUAAGAGGAGUCUAUUGAUGUAAAGUUUGGAAUUUUUAGAGGAGUUUUGGAUAGGUUUGAGAUUUUUCAAAGAUUGGUGAAUUUGGCUGUUAAUGGGGUAGAAUCCGACCGUUGGAUUUCCCUUAUUAUUGUUUUAGAAUGUUGAAAUAAAUGAAAUGAGGUUGCGGGUGGAGUUUGGCAUAAAUCUGAUAAGCUUAACCCUAGAAAGGGUAGUGGGUUAGGCGGAAGAGUUUUGGGUUAUAUAUUUAAGUAUUCUUUUUGUGAAAUUGAAGUUUGGUCCUAAGCAUGGUUAUUGUGCCAGGAUUCGAGGAGACCUCACUAGAGUGACAAUUUGGAUUUCGUCGGGCUUAUGCCUAAAGUUGUGAGUGGACUUUUGUUUUAAAUAAUAUGCAUGCAAUGGUUUAUUGUUGAACAAUUUCUUUUGUUGGAGCAUUUGACGCCAUUUUAAUUUGACGAUUUUAUUUCUUUUGGAGAGUUACCGAAAAUGAGAUUUUUCGGUGAAUAUAAAUAUAUAUUUAUGAGGAGAGUAUGUAUAUAAAUGCUAGCUAGCCAUAUGUGUCUGUCCACCUUAAUGACGUGGUAUAUAACCGCAUUAUGUGUGACGUGAGCGUUAGACGCGAGCGUAGUAGCCUUGUAUGAAUUUAUAUUUUUCAUAAGAAUUCAUACAAUGAGUAUGGACGUGUGUAAAUACAUACAUAUGUUUAUAUAUAUUUUUGAGCUUGAGAGGCUCGAUAUUUUACAAGUUGAAAGUUUAAUCGCUUGAGGCAUGCAUUCGCUUUUUUUUGAAAAUUUAAUUUGGGAAAACAUAAAGAUAUUUAUUGCUCGUUUCUUUUAAAUUUACUUUUGUCCACUCACUCUAACAGUUUCGAAUGUUUUCCCCUGGGCCAUUCGUUUUAAAAAUGCCCAGUUUGCAGGAUUGCAUAGUUGAGGUCGGGCGUACAUGGAGACGAGGUAUAGUCAAUAGUAUAGCUUCCGCUCAUAUAUAUAUUUUUAGUUCAUUUCUCCUUUAAUAGAGUUGCUCUGAAUCUGUGAUUGUUGGUUGUGAGUUUUUCUUAUUAAAGUUGCUAAAUAAAUUGGAAGAUGUUGUGAUUUGGGGAGCACGAAGGCUCCAGGAGUAGAGGGUUAUAGAUGGAUUCUUUUGAAGUGAAUGUAGGUAUUAUUAGGAAGGGUUGUCCAUUUUCAAGGGAGGUUAUUUCGAAUUUUCGGUAAAUUUUCCUUAGAGGUGGUCCCCGCAGGAUUUACUUCGGAUUUCAGGGUGAAAUUCGGGAUGGGUCCUGACACCAAGAAGCCGCCAUGAUUCGCCAUGACUCGCCUAGGGCCGCCAAGGGACACCUUAACCCGCCUUAGGCCGUCUUGACCCGUCUUGACCCUCCUCGGCCCUUCUAGGACCACCUAUGGCUGCCAAGGGGGAGCCAUGACCCACCUAGAGCCACCAAAGGGCUGCUUUUACAUGCCUUGACCUGUCUAGGGCCCCCAAGGGGGACGCCUUAACACUCCUAGGGCCGCCAAGGGGACGUCUUGACCAACCAAGCGGCUGCUUUUACACGCCUAGGUUUGUUUUGACCUCCCUAGGGCCCUACAUGACCUGCCUGGGGCCGCCAAGGGGCUGCCUACGGACGCCUUGGGGCUACCUUGACUCGUCUAGGGCCGCCCUGACCCGCUUUGGCUCGUCUUGGGCCGCUUUGACCCUCUUUAGCCCGCCUUGACCCGCCUUGGACUGCCUUGACCCGCCUUAAACUGCCUUGGGCCGCAUUGACCGCCUUGACCAGCCGUGGGCCGCCUUGACCCGCCUUGAACUGCCUAGGGCCUCCUUGACUGCCUUGGCCAGCCUUAACCUGCCUUGACCCGUCUUGACCUGCCUUGAACCACCUAGGGCCACCAAGAAGCCGCCAUGACCGUCCUAGGCUCGUCUUGGGCCACCAACGGACCGCCUUAACCCGUCUUGACCCGCCUUGACCCGUCUUGGGUCGCCUUGACCAUCCUAGGCCCUUCUACGCCCACCUAGAGUAGCCAAGGGGCUGCUUUUACACCCCUUGACCCGUCUAGGGCCGCCAAGAGGCCGCCUUAAAACUCCUAGGGCCGCCAAGGGACGUCUUGACCUGCCAAUCUUAGGCCGCCUUUACACGCCUUGAACCACUUUGACCCUCCUAGACCCGCCUAGGGCCGCCUUGAUCCUCCUAGACCCAUCAAGAGGCCGCCUAGGGCCGCCAUGGGGACACCUUGACCCGCCUUGGCCUGCCUUGACCCGUCUUGGCCCACCUUUGACCGCCUCGACCCGCCUUGACUUGCCUUGGGCCGCCUCGACCCGCGUUUGACCGCCUUGAUUUUUCCUUGACUUGUCUUGACCCUCCUAGACCCACCUAGGGCCACCAAGAAGCCGCCAUGACUCGCCAUGACCCAUCAAGGGGCUGUCUUUACACACCUUGACCCUCCUAGGCCUGCCUGCUAGGGUUAAGGCUCAAAACUGAUUCCUUGUCUAUUUUGAAUUCUUUACUUCUGAAGGCUUUGGGUAAGUUAUUCUAGUGUAUCUAUGAUUCUUAGAGUUUAUCCUUAGAAGUAAUGGUUUAGGGACCCCGGUUAUGGUUCUAAAUCCUAUUGUAAGUCAGACUAGUUGAAAGUCUAUAAAUAGGACCUUAGAGACAUAGUUUUAGGUGUGGUUCAAUUGAGAGUUUAGAGUAUUCAAGAGUUGCAAGCUUUGAGAGUUUGGGUGAUUUAAGAGUGUUCUCUGCUGAGAAUCUAGAGUGUGAGGAGAGAGGUUAUUUGAGGGUGGAAGAACUGUAUUGUUCUUCAGUUGUAAUCUUCUUCUCGUUUAGUGGAUCCACCAUCACCAUCACCAUCACCAUCACCGGAGGACGUAGGUCAACUGUUUUGACCGAACCUCGUUAAUAUCUUGUGGUCGCUUGCAUUGAUUUUGGAUAUUGUCUUCAUUCAGUUAUGAUCUUGGGCUAGGGAAUUCAGAGGGUGACCCGGAUUUCCUAUCAAAGUGGUAUCUAGAGCCUGUGUUCCGUGCGUUAGCGAAAAGAUGGCAGGGAUUGAAGAUGUCGAGCAAAGGGUUGACUAGUUUGAUGGGCAUGAUUUUGUUAUGUGGAGGUCUCAGAUAACUGACUAUCUGAAUGUCAAGAAGUUGUCCAACCCUUUGCUUGGAGUUAAGCCGAGGGCAUGAAAAAUGUGGAUUGGGAGGAGCUUGACACUCAAGCUUUAGGAGCUAUUCGACUAUCGCUAUCAAAUGAAGUUCGGCGCGAUGUGAUACAUGAGAAAACUACUAAGGGGUUAAUGGAUACCCUGUCAGAGAUGUUUGAGAAGCCAAGCGCCGUUGAGCAUGUGCACUUAUUGAGGAAUUUGUUUUCAAUGAAGAUGGCCAAAGGUGGCUCUGUGCGAAGAUAACAAGCAGCGGUUUGCGAUAUUGUCUAACAAUUGGCUACUGUUGAUAUCAUAGUUGAGAGGCCCUCAAGACGUUGGUGUUGUUGACCUCCAUGCCAGAUACUUGGGAUGUUACUGUCAACUCUAUUUGCAGUUUAGCUGGGAAGAACAAGUUGGUCUACAACGAAGUUCAGGAUACCCUGUUGAGUGAGGAAACUAGGAGGAAGAAGAAUGAUGAUGAAGAGUCAUCUGCGACUACAUCUGCGUUGCUUGUAAGAGGAAGAUCUAGUGUAAAGGAGGGUACGAAUCGUGGUAGAUCAAGGUCGAGGAGUUUUAGAGAUCAAGAUAGAGACAAAGAUAAGGAGUGCUUUUACUGUCAUGAUUUUGGGCAUAUUAGGUAUAAUUGUCCAAAAUUGAAGUUGAAGAGAGCUACUACUGCAAUGGUAGCAAGUGAAGAUGAUGGAGCAUGUUAUGGAGAUGCGCUCAUGGCCACAUCAUGUUUAGAGACGCCACAUGUUGAGUGGAUUUUAGAUACUAGUUGUUCUGAGCACAUGUGUCCCAAUAGGGAUUGGUUUUCUUCCUACAAAGUCUGUGAAGGGAGGUCUAGUGAGGUCGGUUGGUGCACAAACCUACAGAGUUGCUGGUGUUGGAACAAUCAAAAUUAAGGUACAUGAUGGAUCGAUGAGGAGUUUAGAGAAUGUACUCCAUGUUCCUAAGUUCGAUAGGAAUCUGAUAUCUUUGGGAACUUUAGAUUCGAAAGGCCACAAGAUUGUUGGUCAAGAUGGAAAUAUGAAAGUUUUGAAGGGGGCACUCGUAGUGAUGAAGGGUAAGAAGGUAAAUGGUCUCUAUCGUUUAGAAGGGAGCUUUGUUCGAGGUGGAACAGUUGGUUCCAUUAAGAGUUUUGAUCAAGGUGGAAAGAUUGGCAAUCUUGGUUCCUAUUGGCAUUCAAGGGAGAUAAGCAAUAGUAAAUGCGAAGGAACGAAAUCAGCUUCUAAGAAGGUGAAAUUUGAGGAGUAACCAACAUUGCAGCAGUUCUUAAAGGGAGGCAGACCCGUAAGGAUCCCGACACAAGUUUGUGGUGGAGAUAUACUAGCUCAUGCAUAUUCCACAACUGAGGUGUCACCUACUUCAGUGAGUAGUGAGAAAGUUGAGAAGCAAACUUGGUGUUUUUAAGAGUGAUGCGUCUAGAGAAGAUAUCGUUCAUGGUGGAGAAUAUGUUUAGAGGAAUGUUGCUCGCGGUGAGUUAUGCAAACCAUUGAAGAUUGCUCCCAUUAGGUUUGGCAACUUUAGUGGAAACUUGGAUUGCAUGCAAACCUCUUAGGGCCGCCAAGGGGCCGGGUUCACUCGCCAAAGGCCGCCAAGGGGACGUCUUGACCCGCCAAGGGGCUGCCUUUACAUGCCUAGGGCUUUUUAAACCUACCUAGGACCUGCCAUGACCCGCCUAGGGAUUCCAUUGGGUUGCUUUAACCCGCCUUAACCCGCGUUAGACCGCCUUAAACCACCUUGGACCGCCUUGACCCACCUUGGACCGUCUUAGGCCGCCUUGACCCUCUUAGGGUCGCUAAGGGGACGUCUUGACCCGCCAAAGGGCUGCCUUUACACGCCUAGGGCUGUUUUAACCUACUUAGGGCCUGCCAUGACCCGCCUAGGGCCGCCAUGGGGCUGCCUACGUCUUUCAAGGGGCCACCUUGACCUUGCUAGGCCCACGUAGGGCAGCCAAGGGGGCGCCAAGACCCACCUAGGGCUGUCAAGAGGCCACCUUGACCCGUCUAGGGACAAGCCUUGACCUGGCUUGGCCCACCUUGACCCGCCUUGGGCCCACCUUUACCCUCCUAGACCCACCUAGGGCCACCAAAAAGCCGCCAUGACUCGCUAAGGGGGGCCGCCUUGACACACCAAGGGCCUCCAAGAGGACGUCUUGACCUGCCAAGGGGUUGCCAUUACACGCCAAGGUCUGUUUUGACUUCUCUAGGGCCGCCUUGACCCACCUAGGGCAACCAAGAAGCGGCCAUGACUCGCCGAGGGGUCGCCAUGACCCUCCUAGGCCCGUCUAGGGCAGCCAAGGUGCCGCCUUGACCCUCCUCGGCUCUUCUAGGCCCACCUAGGGAAGCCAAGGAGGCUCCUUGACCUGCCUUGGAUCGCCUUGGGCCGCCUUGACCCGCCUUAACCCGCCUUUGACCGCCUUGACUUGCCUUGGGCCGCCUAGACCAGCGCUUGACCCGCCUUGACUUGCCUUGACCCUCCUAGACCAGCCUAGGGCCACCAAGAAGCCGCCAUGACUUGCCAUGACCUGUCAAGGGGCUGCCUUUAUAUGCCUUGACUCUCAUAGGCCCGCCUAGGGCCACCUUGACCCAUGUACGGCCGACAAGGGCGGCCUUAACCCGCCUUGACCCGUCUUAACCCUCCUUGAUCCACCUAGGGCCGCCAAUGGGGAAGCCUUGAGACGCCUAGGGUCGCCAAGGGGACGUCGUCUUGACCUGCCAAGGGGCUGCCUUUACACGCCUAGGUCUGUUUUGACCUCCCUAGGGCCCGCCAUGACCCACCUAGGGCCACCAAGGGGCUGCCUACGGCCGUUAUGAGGCUACAUUGACCUGUUUAGGGCCGCCUUUACCCACCUUGGCCUGUCUUGGGCGGCCUUGGACCGCCUUGACCCUCUUAGGGCCGCCAAGGGGCCGGGUUCACUCGCCUAAGGCCGCCAAGGGCCGCCCUAACACACCUAGGGCAGCCAAGGGGACGUCUUGACCCGCAAAAGGGCUGCCUUAACACGUGUAGGGCUGUUUUAACCUACCAAGGGCCCGCCAUGACCCUGGUUGGACCGCUUUGACCCGCCUUGACUUGCCUUGGGCUGUCUUGACCCGCCUUAGGCCGCCUUGACCUACAUUGAACCGCCUUGGGCCGCCUUGACCCACCUAGACCCGCCUGGACCCUCUAGAACCACCAAAGGGCUGCAUAGGGCCGCCUUGGACUGCCUUGACCCUCCUAGACUCGCCUAGGGCCACCAAAAAGCUGCAAUGACUCGUCAAGGGGCUGCCUUCACACGCCUUGACCCACCUUGGCCCGCCUUGACUCGUUUUGACCCUCCUAGACCUGCCUAGGGCCGCCUUGACUCUUCUAGACUCGCCUAGGGCCACCAAGAAGCUGCAAUGACUCAUCAAGGGGGUGCCUUCACCCACCCUGGCCCGCCUUAGACCCUCUUGGCCCGUCUUUGGCUGCCUUGACCCUCCUCGGCCCUUCUAGGCCCACCUAGGGCAACCAAGGGGGAGCCAUGACCCACUUAGAGCCGCCAACGACUACCUUUACACGGCUUGACCCUCCUUGGCCCUUCUAGGGCCGCCUUUACCCGCCUUGACCUGCCUUCACCCAGUUAGGGCCGCCUUUACCCGUCUAGAGCCGCCUCGACCCAUAUUAGCCCACCUUGACCCUCCUAGGGCCGCUAAGAGGCCCCUUGACCCGCCUUGACCUUACUAGGCCCUCCUAGGUUCGCCUAGGGCCACCAAGGGGCCGCCAUGACUCGCCAAGGGGCCGCCAUGACUCGCCAAGGGGUCGCCAUGACCCUUAUAUGUCCGUCUAGGGCAUCCUUAACCCUCCUAGGCCCUCCAAAGCUUGCCUAGGGUAGCCAAGCGGCCGCCUUGACCCGUCUUAACCCGCCUUGGGCCGCCUUGACACGCGUAGAGCUGCCUUGACCAACAUGGGCCGACCUUGACCCUCCUAGGGCCACCAAGGAGCUGUCUUGACCUCGCUAGGGCCGCCAAGGGGCCCCGUUCACCUGUCUAAGGCCGCCAAGGGGCUUCCUUGACCCUCCUACAACCCCAUAGGGCCGCCUUGACCCUCCUAGGCCCUCCUUGGCUCGACUAGGGCCAUCAAGGGGCCGCCAUGACCAUCCUAGGCCUGUUUAGGGCCGCCUUUACCCACUUUGACCCGCAUUGGCCCGCCUUAACUUGCCUUGACCCUCCUAGGGCCGCCAAGAGGCCGCCUUGACGCUAGGGCCGCCAAGAGGCUGCCUUGACCUCGCUAGGGCCGCUAAGGGGCCGCCUUCACCCGUCUAAGGCUGCCAACGGGCCGCCUUGACCUCGCUAGGGCCGCGUUCACCCGUUUAAGGCUGCCAAGAGGCUGCCAUAACCCUCCCUACGCCUUCCUAGGCCCUCCUUUGCUCGCCUAGGGUUGCCAAGGGGCUGCUAAGGGGCUGCUAUAACCCUCCUAGACCCGCGUAGGGUAGCCCUCCUAGGCCCUCCUUGGCUGACCUAGGGCCACCAAAGGGUUGCCAUGACUCACCAAGGGGUCGCCAUGACCCUCCUGGGCUUGUGUAGGGCCGCCUUGACUUGCCUAGGGCCGUCAAGCGGCUGCCUUGACCCUGUUGGGGACGCCAUGGGGCUGCGUUCACCCGUUUAAGGUUGCCAAGGGGCCGCCUUGACCCGCCAAGGGGCUGCCUUAACCCUCCUAGACCCUCCUUGACCCUCCUUGGACUGCCUUAACCCGCCUUAACCCGCCUUGGGCCGCCUUCACCCGCCUUGGGCCACCUAGACCCAUCUAGGGCCACUGAGGGGCGCCUUGACCAAGCUAGGGCCGCCAAGGGGUCGACUUGACCCUCCUAGGGCUACCUUGACCAGCCUUGGGUCGCCUUUACCGGCCUUGACCUGCCUAGGGCCUCCAAGCGGCCCUCUUGACCCACCUUGGCCCGCCUUGACCCGCAUUGACCUACCUUGGCCUGCCUUGACCCGCCUUGGACCUGCCUAGGGCCGCCAAGCAGCCGUCUUGACUCGCCUUAACCCUCCUUAAGCCGCGUUACCCCUCCAAGCGGCCGCCUUGGACCGCUUUGACCCGCAUUUACCUGCCUUUGGCCGUUUUAACUCUCUUUGGACCGCCUUAACCCGCUUUGGCCCGGCUUAGGCCUCCUUCACCCGUCUUAGGCCUCCUUCACCCGUCUUAGGCCUCCUUCACCCGUCUUGGGCCGCUUUGGCCCGGCUUAGGCCUCCUUCACCCGUCUUCAGAUUUUUAUACAAGUAUGUAAACAACUUUCAAGCAUCGAAAUCAACAAUAUGUUCAAGUACAUGGCGCCACAACCUGGUUCUUUCUAGUUGAUUUUAUUCAAAUUGGUUUGAAGAAAAUAGAUCACAUAUGCCAAGUUAUUUUCUAGCGUCUAAAGUGAGGUGAUGCUUCGGCCCAAGCUCUUGGCUAGUUCGAGCGUGUUCCGUGUUUUCAGAAGGCUGUGUCGUUAAGAUUCACGGAGGGCGAACCCCCUAUAGGAACCAGGCAGGACUCGUUUAGUGGUCACGGAGAGCGAACUCCCAAUCGACCCCUUCACUGAGAAGAGAUAUCAGUCUAUGACCUUGAGAUCCAGUUAAACAAACCUAAGAACCAUAUCUAUGAAAAUAACUUGCCCCUUACUCAGUUGAGAACAAACUCGGGUCACUAGACCGGUCUACAAGUGUUAAUCAAAGCCGCCCUCAACCUCAUGAGAUCAUAAGAUAACAUGAAGGGUGAAGGCUAAGAUUAACAAAAGUGGCUUCCCCCUACAUAUUUCACUUUAGAAGCUACAAUAAACUCAAGCAUACAUAAAACUAUAAACUUCCUAGAAAUUAAACUAAGUUAUUACAACAUGCAUUCAAGCACACAAAUCAAAACCGAAACUUCCAAAAAUUAAAAAUACAAAUCGGCCAAAAUUAAUUACAAGCCGAAAACCAAUAAUAAUAAAAACUAUAUAACAUCUUCUUCGAUUCUUCUUGGCUUCCCCGGCAACGGCGCCAAAAAUUGACGUGUCGCGUAACCGGGGUCAAACAACUUCAAUUUAAUUACCCUGCAAUCGUAGUAAUAUAGACAAGUAGGGAUCGUUCUAGCCGGGGAAACCAAAGGGCAAUCGAAAGAAGAUAAACCNNNN
rnacentral:lncRNA from 1 species